UGAGGAAUAUUGGGCAAUGCCCGCAAGGGUGACCCAGCAACGCCGCGUGGAGGAUGAAUGUCGUAAGAUUGUAAACUCCUGUUAGAGGGGAAGAAUAGUACCGGUUGGACCGGUAUAUGACUGUACCCUCAGAGAAAGCCCCGGCUAACUACGUGCCAGCAGCCGCGGUAAUACGGAGGGUGCAAGCGUUAUCCGGAUUUACUGGGUUUAAAGGGUGCGUAGGCGGAUGAAUAAGUCAGUGGUGAAAUCUCCGAGCUUAACUCGGAAACUGCCGUUGAUACUAUUUGUCUUGAAUAUUGUGGAGGUAAGCGGAAUAUGUCAUGUAGCGGUGAAAUGCUUAGAUAUGACAUAGAACACCAAUUGCGAAGGCAGCUUGCUACACAAUCAUUGACGCUGAGGCACGAAAGCGUGGGGAUCAAACA
rnacentral:rRNA from 1 species